UACGUAGGUGGCAAGCGUUGUCCGGAUUUACUGGGCGUAAAGGGCGUGCAGGCGGUUUGUUAAGUCUAGGGUGAAAGCUCCCGGCUCAACUGGGAGAGGUCCUUGGAUACUGGCAGACUUGAGGAGGGUAGAGGAGAGUGGAAUUCCCGGUGUAGUGGUGAUAUGCGUAGAUAUCGGGAGGAACACCAGUGGCGAAGGCGGCUCUCUGGGCCCUACCUGACGCUGAGGUGCGAAAGCGUGGGGAGCAAACAGG
rnacentral:rRNA from 1 species